UAGAGUUUGAUCCUGGCUCAGGAUGAACGCUAGCGGCAGGCUUAACACAUGCAAGUCGAGGGGUAUAGUUCUUCGGAGCUAGAGACCGGCGCACGGGUGCGUAACGCGUAUGCAAUCUGCCUUUCACAGAGGGAUAGCCCAGAGAAAUUUGGAUUAAUACCUCAUAGUAUUAUGAAGUGGCAUCACUUUAUAAUUAAAGUCACAACGGUGAAAGAUGAGCAUGCGUCCCAUUAGCUAGUUGGUAAGGUAACGGCUUACCAAGGCGACGAUGGGUAGGGGUCCUGAGAGGGAGAUCCCCCACACUGGUACUGAGACACGGACCAGACUCCUACGGGAGGCAGCAGUGAGGAAUAUUGGUCAAUGGGCGCAAGCCUGAACCAGCCAUGCCGCGUGCAGGAUGACGGUCCUAUGGAUUGUAAACUGCUUUUGUACGAGAAGAAACACUGAUUCGUGAAUCAGCUUGACGGUAUCGUAAGAAUUAAGGAUCGGCUAACUCCGUGCCAGCAGCCGCGGUAAUACGGAGGAUCCAAGCGUUAUCCGGAAUCAUUGGGUUUAAAGGGUCCGUAGGCGGUCUAGUAAGUCAGUGGUGAAAGCCCAUCGCUCAACGGUGGAACGGCCAUUGAUACUGCUGGACUUGAAUUAUUAGGAAGUAACUAGAAUAUGUAGUGUAGCGGUGAAAUGCUUAGAGAUUACAUGGAAUACCAAUUGCGAAGGCAAGUUACUACUAAUGGAUUGACGCUGAUGGACGAAAGCGUGGGUAGCGAACAGGAUUAGAUACCCUGGUAGUCCACGCCGUAAACGAUGGAUACUAGCUGUUGGAAGCAAUUUCAGUGGCUAAGCGAAAGUGAUAAGUAUCCCACCUGGGGAGUACGUUCGCAAGAAUGAAACUCAAAGGAAUUGACGGGGGCCCGCACAAGCGGUGGAGCAUGUGGUUUAAUUCGAUGAUACGCGAGGAACCUUACCAAGGCUUAAAUGCAGACUGACCGAUUUGGAAACAGAUCUUUCGCAAGACAGUUUACAAGGUGCUGCAUGGUUGUCGUCAGCUCGUGCCGUGAGGUGUCAGGUUAAGUCCUAUAACGAGCGCAACCCCUGUUGUUAGUUGCCAGCGAGUCAUGUCGGGAACUCUAACAAGACUGCCAGUGCAAACUGUGAGGAAGGUGGGGAUGACGUCAAAUCAUCACGGCCCUUACGCCUUGGGCUACACACGUGCUACAAUGGCCGGUACAGAGAGCAGCCACUGGGUGACCAGGAGCGAAUCUAUAAAGCCGGUCACAGUUCGGAUCGGAGUCUGCAACUCGACUCCGUGAAGCUGGAAUCGCUAGUAAUCGGAUAUCAGCCAUGAUCCGGUGAAUACGUUCCCGGGCCUUGUACACACCGCCCGUCAAGCCAUGGAAGCUGGGGGUGCCUGAAGUCGGUGACCGCAAGGAGCUGCCUAGGGUAAAACUGGUAACUAGGGCUAAGUCGUAACAAGGUAGCCGUA
rnacentral:rRNA from 1 species